rnacentral:rRNA from 1 species
CUGUACCAUGCUGAAUAUACCGGUUCUCGUUAGAUCACCAAAGUUAAGCAUCAUUGGGCGCGGUCAGUACUUGGGUGGGUGACCACCUGGGAACACUGCGUGCCGUU